rnacentral:rRNA from 1 species
GAGUUUGAUCGUGGCUCAGAGCGAACGCUGGCGGCAGGCCUAACACAUGCAAGUCGAGCGCUCGUAGCAAUACGAGAGCGGCAGACGGGAGAGUAACACGUGGGAACGUGCCCUUCGGUUCGGAAUAACUCAGGGAAACUUGAGCUAAUACCGGAUACGCCCUAACGGGGAAAGAUUUAUUGCCGAAGGAGCGGCCCGCGUCGGAUUAGCUAGUUGGUGAGGUAAUGGCUCACCAAGGCAACGAUCCGUAGCUGGUCUAAGAGGAUGAUCAGCCUCACUGGGACUGAGACACGGCCCAGACUCCUACGGGAGGCAGCAGUGGGGAAUAUUGGACAAUGGGCGCAAGCCUGAUCCAGCCAUGCCGCGUGGGUGAUGAAGGCCCUAGGGUUGUAAAGCCCUUUCGGCGGGGAAGAUAAUGACGGUACCCGCAGAAGAAGCCCCGGCUAACUUCGUGCCAGCAGCCGCCGUAAG